UGGUUCUGGCAUCGAUGAAGAACGCAGCGAAAUGCGAUAAGUAAUGUGAAUUGCAGAAUCCAGUGAAUCAUCGAAUCUUUGAACGCACAUUGCGCCCUCUGGCAUUCCGGAGGGCAUACCUGUUCGAGCGUCAUUACAACCCUCAAAGGCGACUCUUUGGCGUUGGGCAAUGCCCGAGAGGCAUGCCUCAAGGCCUUCGGCCACGGGCGCACAAACGUGCCUAGCCGGCCGGACGUCGUCAGCCGAUCGACGAAUCUCCAGAUGUUGACCUCGGAUCAGGUAGGGAUACCCGCUGA
rnacentral:misc_RNA from 1 species